GACGAACGCUGGCGGCGUGCCUAAUACAUGCAAGUCGAACGCAGUGGGGACGGGUGAGUAACCCGUGGGUAACCUCCCAUCAGAGGGGAUAACACUUGGAAACAGGUGCUAAACCGAUACUGAUGGAUGGACCCGCUGUGCAUUAGCUAGUUGGUGAGGUAACGGCUCACCAAGGCCACGAUGCAUAGCCGGCCUGAGAGGGUGAGUGUCCACACUGGGACGGAGACACGGCCCAGACUCCUACGGGAGGAAGCAGUAGGGAAUCGUAGGCAAUGGAGGAAAGUCUGACCGAGCAACGCCGCGUGAGUGAAGAAGGUUUUCGGAUCGUAAAACUCUGUUGUUAGAGAAGCGGAAUAUAACCAGAAAGCCACGGCUAACUACGUGCCAGCAGCAGCGGUAAUUC
rnacentral:rRNA from 1 species